UCUUAUGGAUGAGCAAAGAAAAUAGUUCCUUGAAAUGGAAUUUACUUCUGAUGAAGAUGCUGUGAA
rnacentral:pre_miRNA from 3 species